CAAAAUACUGAUAUUGAUGUGUCGUGUUUUGUGGAUGAUGAUGAUGAUAACAUCUCUAUUCAGACAAUAUUUAUAGCUGAGAAACAGAAGCUCUUUCUGGACUCACUUCACCCUGAUGGUUUUGGUGAUGAUCUCUACAGAACAAUAUUUAGGUUGAUGCUACAGAAAUGAAAAGUUGCUCUGACCUUGUUCAAUGACAAGUGUGUUCUUUGGAUAGACUAACAGCAGCCUGUUAGGUUCUCAGGCUGAAAGGUUCAACAUGGAGCCUCAGAUUUAAAGGUUCAACAUGGAACUUCGUUAACAGAUUUAAAGGACCAGGAGAAUCUUUGACCCUGUUUGGAGAACUGGAAGAGACCUUCAGUUCUUUUCUCAGCAGAUGUCAGACAGCUGCUGCAGCAUUUCAUGUUGAUGUGAAAAACAUCUUCCUCACAGUCUUACUGCGUCUGUGAACACACAGACACAUGAAAGGUGGAGGAGGACGUGAUGUGCUCCUACACUAAAGAGAGUUAGACAAUAGAAAGGCAACAAAUAAAAUACAAUUAAAAAAGGGUCAAAUUUCAUUCUGGAGUGCUGCAGGAUAUAAAUACAAGAAAUAUCUUUCCAGUAACUUGUUUUUCUAUCUAGUUCUCCGCUCUCUCUGUUUCUCUGAGUCUGAAGGUCUGAAUUCCUAAACUACUGUCUGGUCCAUGCAGGUCUCCUCGGUGCUUACAGCUUUGAGCGGCUCUGGUGUUCCAGCAGGAGUCGGUGCUCACCUCAUCAUCUCAGCUGUUCAGCAUUAAGCUCUGCAGCUUCCAGUGUUCAUCGACAGGUCAUUGUCUACCUUUAGAAUCCUUCAACCACGAGUACCAACAACCAACCAUCUCUGGACCUCUCUGCUCAGCUGCCUCACAGCCACAGACUCGGUUCUACCUGCUCACCGUGUCCUCCAGCUCCAGAAGGACAAAGGAACGCCGCUCACCUCCCCAUGUCUUAGACACCAUCUGCAAACCCCGGUGCAGCCUCUCCUCUCUUGGUUCUCAAUCUCUCUCCACCCCCCUGCUUGCACAUCGACUCCAGAUUCAUCCCCAUCUCUAAAUAAAUCCCUUUCUCAC